AGUUGACCGGGUCUGCAAAUUUCGGGCCAAACAGACCCGUUACCGAAAAAGUCCCCGAAUUGGAUCGAGGUUUUGGCUAGCCCCCCAUUGUCAGACGUCCCGAGCGCGUUCCCGAAGUCGGAAUCGGCAAAGGUGAGCCGGGACAGCCUUCUUCCUCCGCCCAGCCGCCACAGUGAUUGUCGUCAAGUCUGCCACAGGAGGAUAUUUUGUUCUGGGUUAACCUGCUUUUCUACUUCGCAGGUUGUUUAUCAAUAUUUGUGUAAUUUUAUUUACUCCUAGAAUUUCCGCAUGUGUUAGCAGUAAUUAUUUGAAUUUGGUCUGUAAUAUUAUUAUCAUGUUGGACCUGUAAACUUAAUAUUCUAUGUCUGUUUUGAUGGAUUGGAUGAGGGAGCUGAGCUCCCGUUU